CUGAAUCCCACUUUAGACUACAAAUCGUCAGUCGACGGAAGUUGCAUCACCACAACAACAACCAGUACCGGUGUUGUGCUAAAGUAGUUACCCCGUCUUUUCCAGUGGCUACACUUGAUGAUGGCGACACUAGCAAUUCGUGUUAUAAACCCAGAUGCCCCUGCACAUCGUCAGCAGGCCGGGUGAGAAGUAUGGUCUUCACCAAACCUCCACAGGAGCUGCUCAGCCGAGUCGCUGCCUUCACUCACGCACAGACGGUAUCCACGCGCCUUCACGUCUGCAGUGCCCGGUGGUGCUUUCCGACCGUGGCUCGUUACAAACGAUGUGACAUAUAUGAAGUUGUAAGUGUAUCGUGUAUUUAAUAUUGUACUAGGCAGAUUUACUGCACUGCCAUUUACUACACAUUUACCUGCGUAUGGCUGUUGUCAGUACAUGUUGCUCAUUUUAAACUUUCUUGUUGAUGGUAACGUGUAUGAUUCCAGCGUACCUGACAGGCACUUUUGACUUUGUGUACACAGUUGAUUAUGUAAAGCCCCUCGCAUUGCAUUCAUAAUCAAGUUCACUGAUUGACUACCCUGCAGUGCUGUUUUCCUGUAUUCCCGUUUCCUCCACUUUAAUAAAGUGUCCUGUGUUACAGUAA